ACCUCGCACGCGACCACCCCGAGCAAUUUAUGAAACAAAACGCAACAAAGCACCAAGGGAUUGCAGGGUUUGGAAUUCAUACAAUUUUUUUCGAUGAGACAUGUGAAAAAAAUCACAACUUCCUAGGUCUGUUAAAUGUCUAACGUAGAAUUGCGGGCUUGCUUAAUUAUUUUUACUCUAUUCGGACCGAAUUCCCGAAACUUAUAGACAGCACAAUGUAAAUGGAAACUAUGAGAGAUUGGCACCCAAUUUACCAAACGAAUCUACUCCAAGAAUUGAAUUGUACCUUAUUACUUCCUAUAAUACCAUGAAUGCAAAAUAAAAAUCUUUGCUCAAAUUAACUGGAAUACAAGCCUAAGAAUACAGUAAGAUUGGAAACUAUUAAAAAAAUGAGAUGUCUCAACAAAUAUCAUGGCCUCAACAAAUAUGAUAGUUAGCAUUCACGCUGUAAUGUCGAUGGGCCGUGGUAACUAGGUACUAAAUACAGAGUAUGCCGUGAACUUGUUUUCUCAUCUAAAGAAAUCUAUUUCAAAACUUAUUUGUGUUAACAAUUAUUGUAUUGUAUAAGUGUAUUAACAAUGGUACCUAACAAUUGUUGACGAUAGACUUCUACCGUGAAGGAAUAACAUCGUGUAAUAAAAAUCAAACCUGCAAAAUUAUAAUUUGCGUAAUUACUGGUGGUAGGACGUCUUGUGAGUCCGCACGGGUAGGUACAGUGGUAGAUUUACACUAGGGGCAGUCGGGGCAUGUGCCCAGGGCGGCAAAAUUUUGAAAAUAAAUUUUUUUUUUAGUCAUCAAUAUUGCUCAAUAAAAUUAAUUAAUUCUAAUAAUUAAUAUUUUUUUUAUAAUUGAUAAUUCAAGAAAUUCAAUUCAUCCAUUAUUUGUGAAUUGUAAUUUUGGCACUUUUGGUAAAAAUUAAUAAUCAAAACGAUUUAAUCAAUUUAUUUCCUUGGAGAUUUAAAAUAAUAAUUGAUUUUUCUAUUUUCUGUAAUUAAAGAAAUUUAAUUAGUUUUUUUAUGUAAUAUAAUUAUGAGUCAAAAUUUAUAAUUGUUAUUUAGAAAAAAAAAACAAAUAUUUAUUUAUGUUUUUGGAAUAUAUGACAUAUGAGUUUCUAUAUAAAGUUUCCGCAAUAAAUUAGUUAUUUUAAUUUUGAAAAAUAAAAUAUUAUAUAUAAACUAUAAGUUUAGGUAAAAUUCCAGUAUUGGGGCGGAUUUUUUUCCGGUGCCCAGAAGCGGCAUUAAGUUUAAAUCCGGCCCUGGGUAGGUACCACCUUACAACUCAUGUGGGCCGUGAGCUCGUCCACCAUUAGGAACUAAAAAAAUAUUAUUGAAACACGUAAAAGUUUUAAUACAGUUUUAAUAUCAAUUUCAUGUCAAGAACUUGCUUUCAGGUUCUUACGUUCUGUGCAGCUUCAGACGACUGACUGACCUAGUGGGCCGAGUUCGUGAGCGAAAAUUAAAUUAAUCUUUGAGCGCGUUUCAUAAUACACAACCUUGUAACCUGCCGUGCGAUUCUCUAAAAUUCAAACAAGAACUCGCAUCUCACUACGAAAUUCUCCAUCACUUCGCAUUCGCAAUGGAAUGACCUUGAUUUGGCAUUCUGUAAACACUAAUCUUAAUUACCCUGCCUCGAGCGAAGUGAAGUGACAACGAAGUUUGUUUACAAUACUACUAGGGAUAGCCGUAUACACGCAAAUGUAAAUCGAAGCUUACCGGUUUCAGUUUUUCUUUGUAUUUAGAAGCAUUCUGUAAGAAAAUACUAUGAAUUUAAGCUUUGGUGUCUAAACCACAUCUAAUAUAUCUAAAAAGAAAAUUAAAAGUCAUAUAUUUAUGAAAUUAAUUGUAAUUUCUGGCUGUACGCUAAGUUCCUUUGCGUGCACUGGCGAAUACCAGAAUUAAAAAACAAAAUUUUAAUUGUUUUCAAAACAAUUUCGAGCGGUCGGAAGUUUUUAUUUUGCUUUUUCUAGAUUUGUUGUUACUUUGUGAGUGAAUUUAACGUUAAAUAAAAAUUAUGAGAUUUAAAGAGCGUUCUUCUCAUCCGACAUUGGCGCAAAUAGAGGCAUUGAUAAACGUUUUGGGUUAAAAGCUAGCGAAACAAAAGGAUUAAUCGAAUCUCAAAUGUUCAAUAAGAGAACAAGGAUAUUAAAAAAAUAUAGGAACUAAAUUCUCUUAUCAGUUAAGAUCCAUUCCCGGAACUACAACAGAUUGAAAAUACUAAUCCACAUCAUCAGAACAUUGUAAGGAGAAUUUAUAGCCAACUCGGAAAAUGUAUCAGUAUUGGAACAAUCGCAAACAUACAGCAUUGCAUCAAGAAUCACCUAUUUUGCAGUCAUCAUCCUCUAACUAAAUGCAAGUAACUUCUACUUAUUGUGAUGCUACUACUAGUAGCUCCAGCCACAGUAGGUCUCACAUGUUAGUCAAGAGAUUGGGUUGAUAUGUGUUUAUUCAGGUCAAAGUACCUAUUCAUUGAACCACCAUAUUAGGGACAUUGAUUUGUGUAUAAUGCUGUUACUUGUAAAUAAAAACAUUUUGUUGCAUGUAUUGUAAACAUUGUAUUUUACCUAACCUUGUUUUUAAAUAAAUUUAUUAUUUUUUUCAGCACCUCAACACCUGACCUGCUAUUUCACCACUUUUACAAUGAAAAGCAGAGUGUACUCAAAUUACUGAGAGAAUUUUGUGGAUAGAGGAACUGCAGGUGAAGAUUCAGGGUGUUCAUAUGUGUGUCGUCCAAAGCAUUUUUGAACACAGUACCAUAUAUAACUUAAUGAAACUUAGAACCAUGGGGGAAUGAAUAGUCGACAAUCUGCAAGAAGGAUGAACUGUUGGUGGAAUUAGCACAUGCAGCUAGCAAUUUUAAACGUGGAUUUCCCAUAAGUUACUGAUGCAAACAAAUUUCAAAAUUAUUGUAUAUAACUAUUGAAUAAAACUAUAAUAAAACUA